GACGAACGCUGGCGGCGUGCUUAACACAUGCAAGUCGAGCGAUGAAGUUUCUUCGGAAAUGGAUUAGCGGCGAACGGGUGAGGAACACGUGAAGAAUCUGCCCUCCACUUUGGGAUAACACCUGGAAACCGGUGCUAAUACCGAAUAUUGAAACAUAAGUGGCAUCACUGAGUUUUGAAAGAAUUUCGGUGGAGGAUGACUUCGCGGCCUAUCAGCUAGUUGGUGAGGUAAUGGCUCACCAAGGCAACGACGGGUAGCCGGCCUGAGAGGGCGACCGGCCACACUGGGACUGAGACACGGCCCAGACUCCUACGGGAGGCAGCAGUGGGGAGUAUUGGGCAAUGGAGGAAACUCUGACCCAGCGACGCCGCGUGCGGGAUGAAGGCCUUCGGGUUGUAAACCGCUUUCAGUAGGGAAGAAGCGAAAGUGACGGUACCUACAAAAGAAGCACCGGCUAACUAUGUGCCAGCCGCCGCCGUAA
rnacentral:rRNA from 1 species